GUUAUAUGGUCAAGUGAAGAAGCGCAUACGGUGGAUGCCUUGGCAGUCAGAGGCGAUGAAAGACGUGGUAGCCUGCGAUAAGCUUCGGGGAGUCGGCAAACAGACUUUGAUCCGGAGAUCUCUGAAUGGGGGAACCCACCUAGGAUAACCUAGGUAUCUUGUACUGAAUACAUAGGUGCAAGAGGCGAACCAGGGGAACUGAAACAUCUAAGUACCCUGAGGAAAAGAAAUCAACCGAGAUUCCCUUAGUAGUGGCGAGCGAACGGGGACUAGCCCUUAAGUUGAUUUGAGAUUAGCGGAACGCUCUGGAAAGUGCGGCCAUAGUGGGUGAUAGCCCUGUACGCGAAAAUCUCUUAUCAAUGAAAUCGAGUAGGACGGAGCACGAGAAACUUUGUCUGAAUAUGGGGGGACCAUCCUCCAAGGCUAAAUACUACUGACUGACCGAUAGUGAACUAGUACCGUGAGGGAAAGGCGAAAAGAACCCCGGAGAGGGGAGUGAAAUAGAUCCUGAAACCGUAUGCGUACAAGCAGUGGGAGCCUACUUUGUUAGGUGACUGCGUACCUUUUGUAUAAUGGGUCAGCGACUUAUAUUCAGUGGCGAGCUUAACCGAAUAGGGGAGGCGUAGCGAAAGCGAGUCUUAAUAGGGCGUUUAGUCGCUGGGUAUAGACCCGAAACCGGGCGAUCUAUCCAUGGGCAGGUUGAAGGUUAGGUAACACUGACUGGAGGACCGAACCGACUACCGUUGAAAAGUUAGCGGAUGACCUGUGGAUCGGAGUGAAAGGCUAAUCAAGCUCGGAGAUAGCUGGUUCUCCUCGAAAGCUAUUUAGGUAGCGCCUCAUGUAUCACUGUAGGGGGUAGAGCACUGUUUCGGCUAGGGGGUCAUCCCGACUUACCAAACCGAUGCAAACUCCGAAUACCUACAAGUGCCGAGCAUGGGAGACACACGGCGGGUGCUAACGUCCGUCGUGAAAAGGGAAACAACCCAGACCGUCAGCUAAGGUCCCAAAGUCAUGGUUAAGUGGGAAACGAUGUGGGAAGGCUUAGACAGCUAGGAGGUUGGCUUAGAAGCAGCCACCCUUUAAAGAAAGCGUAAUAGCUCACUAGUCGAGUCGGCCUGCGCGGAAGAUGUAACGGGGCUCAAACCAUGCACCGAAGCUACGGGUAUCACUUAGGUGAUGCGGUAGAGGAGCGUUCUGUAAGCCUGUGAAGGUGAGUUGAGAAGCUUGCUGGAGGUAUCAGAAGUGCGAAUGCUGACAUGAGUAACGACAAUGGGAGUGAAAAACUCCCACGCCGAAAGACCAAGGUUUCCUGCGCAACGUUAAUCGACGCAGGGUUAGUCGGUCCCUAAGGCGAGGCUGAAAAGCGUAGUCGAUGGAAAACAGGUUAAUAUUCCUGUACUUCUGGUUAUUGCGAUGGAGGGACGGAGAAGGCUAGGCCAGCUUGGCGUUGGUUGUCCAAGUUUAAGGUGGUAGGCUGAGAUCUUAGGUAAAUCCGGGAUCUUAAGGCCGAGAGCUGAUGACGAGUGCUCUUUAGAGCGCGAAGUGGUUGAUGCCAUGCUUCCAAGAAAAGCUUCUAAGCUUCAGAUAACCAGGAACCGUACCCCAAACCGACACAGGUGGUUGGGUAGAGAAUACCAAGGCGCUUGAGAGAACUCGGGUGAAGGAACUAGGCAAAAUGGCACCGUAACUUCGGGAGAAGGUGCGCCGGUGAGGGUGAAGGACUUGCUCCGUAAGCCCAUGCCGGUCGAAGAUACCAGGCCGCUGCGACUGUUUAUUAAAAACACAGCACUCUGCAAACACGAAAGUGGACGUAUAGGGUGUGACGCCUGCCCGGUGCCGGAAGGUUAAUUGAUGGGGUUAGCUAACGCGAAGCUCUUGAUCGAAGCCCCGGUAAACGGCGGCCGUAACUAUAACGGUCCUAAGGUAGCGAAAUUCCUUGUCGGGUAAGUUCCGACCUGCACGAAUGGCGUAACGAUGGCGGCGCUGUCUCCACCCGAGACUCAGUGAAAUUGAAAUCGCUGUGAAGAUGCAGUGUAUCCGCGGCUAGACGGAAAGACCCCGUGAACCUUUACUAUAGCUUUGCACUGGACUUUGAAUUUGCUUGUGUAGGAUAGGUGGGAGGCUUUGAAGCGUGGACGCCAGUUCGCGUGGAGCCAUCCUUGAAAUACCACCCUGGCAACUUUGAGGUUCUAACUCAGGUCCGUCAUCCGGAUCGAGGACAGUGUAUGGUGGGUAGUUUGACUGGGGCGGUCUCCUCCUAAAGAGUAACGGAGGAGUACGAAGGUGCGCUCAGACCGGUCGGAAAUCGGUCGUAGAGUAUAAAGGCAAAAGCGCGCUUGACUGCGAGACAGACACGUCGAGCAGGUACGAAAGUAGGUCUUAGUGAUCCGGUGGUUCUGUAUGGAAGGGCCAUCGCUCAACGGAUAAAAGGUACUCCGGGGAUAACAGGCUGAUACCGCCCAAGAGUUCAUAUCGACGGCGGUGUUUGGCACCUCGAUGUCGGCUCAUCACAUCCUGGGGCUGAAGCCGGUCCCAAGGGUAUGGCUGUUCGCCAUUUAAAGUGGUACGCGAGCUGGGUUUAGAACGUCGUGAGACAGUUCGGUCCCUAUCUGCCGUGGACGUUUGAGAUUUGAGAGGGGCUGCUCCUAGUACGAGAGGACCGGAGUGGACGAACCUCUGGUGUUCCGGUUGUCACGCCAGUGGCAUUGCCGGGUAGCUAUGUUCGGAAGAGAUAACCGCUGAAAGCAUCUAAGCGGGAAACUUGCCUCAAGAUGAGAUCUCACUGGAGCCUUGAGCUCCCUGAAGGGUCGUCGAAGACUACGACGUUGAUAGGUUGGGUGUGUAAGUGCUGUGAGGCAUUGAGCUAACCAAUACUAAUUGCCCGUGAGGCUUGACCAUAUAACACCCAAGCAAUU
rnacentral:rRNA from 1 species